rnacentral:rRNA from 1 species
GACGAACGCUGGCGGCGUGCUUAACACAUGCAAGUCGAACGGAAAGGCCCUGCUUUUGUGGGGUGCUCGAGUGGCGAACGGGUGAGUAACACGUGAGUAACCUGCCCUUGACUUUGGUAUAACUUCAGGAAACUGGGGCUAAUACCGUAUAGGAGCUCCUGCUGCAUUGUGGGGGUUGGAAAGUUUCGGCUGUUGGGGAUGGACUCGCGGCUUAUCAGCUUGUUGGUGGGGUAGUGGCUUACCAAGGCUGUGACGGGUAGCCGGCCUGAGAGGGUGAACGGCCACAAUGGGACUGAGAUACGGCCCAGACUCCAACGGGAGGCAGCAGUGGGGAAUAUUGCACAAUGGGCGGAAGCCUGAUGCAGAAACGCCGCGUGCGGGAUGACGGCCUUCGGGUUGUAAACCGCUUUCGCCUGUGACGAAGCGUGAGUGACGGUAAUGGGUAAAGAAGCACCGGCUAACUACGUG